rnacentral:rRNA from 1 species
CAGUCGCCGCGGUAAUACAGAGGGUGCGAGCGUUAAUCGGAUUCACUGGGCGUAAAGCGUGCGUAGGCGGCUUCUUAAGUCGGAUGUGAAAUCCCUGAGCUUAACUUAGGAAUUGCAUUCGAUACUGGGAAGCUAGAGUAUGGGAGAGGAUGGUAGAAUUCCAGGUGUAGCGGUGAAAUGCGUAGAGAUCUGGAGGAAUACCGAUGGCGAAGGCAGCCAUCUGGCCUAAUACUGACGCUGAGGUACGAAAGCAUGGGGAGCAAACAGGAUUAGAUACCCCUGUAGUCCCUGUCUCUUAUAC